UACAGAGGUCUCAAGCGUUGUUCGGAUUCAUUGGGCGUAAAGGGCGCGUAGGCGGCCACCGCAAGUCGACUGUGAAAUCUCCGGGCUUAACCCGGAAAGGUCAGCCGAUACUGCGGGGCUAGAGUGCAGAAGGGGCAACUGGAAUUCUCGGUGUAGCGGUGAAAUGCGUAGAUAUCGAGAGGAACACCUGCGGCGAAGGCGGGUUGCUGGGCUGACACUGACGCUGAGGUGCGAAAGCGUGGGGAGCAAACAGG
rnacentral:rRNA from 1 species